AAUAGGAAUAGCUAUGUUAUGCUCUAAUCUGUUAGCCUCUGUAAUCCCUGGCUACAGUUGAUUCAUCCAGGGUUAGAGACUUAGUUUAAGCAAGGCCAGAGUCCUCUCUUAGGAAUUUUGAAACUAGAACUGAGAACAAACUAACUCCACUAUCUGUUUGCAUUCCUGCACUGUAAUAUACAAAGCUUUAGAGCUUUUGAUAGCCAUGUUCCUACCAUGUGGGUCAAAGAAGCAAUGCAACUGGUCUGGAAAAAGAAGGAGAGAAAAUGAAGCAAAGCUACGGAGAGGAACAAGAAAAAGAAGACUGCUGAUUCCUGGUUCCACAUGUUUUUGAGACGCAGCCACAUUAUUGACCUUGCAUUCUGAGACACCACAAUAUUCUUAUAGCUCAUCAUCCACAUCAUACAGUUACCCAGCGACGGAAAGCCAACAUUUAUUUGUUCCAAGUCUUCUACUGAGGUACUUCAUGUACUGCUUUCCUAGGCUUUUUGCU
rnacentral:lncRNA from 1 species